rnacentral:lncRNA from 10 species
CUACCCAUCACUGUCUUAUGCUCAGUGACCCAGGACCACCUAUGAGCAUCUGGGCCCAAGAGAUGAUCUCAAACUUUUCACAAUUAUUUCAGGUAUCAACAAGAUGGAAAUAAAGCCAAAAGCUGUGCUGAGAUUCAACCAUCAACAUCCCAAAAGGAAUAUUCUGUUUCCCAGCAUUUCUUGCCAAGGAUGAUCUCAGAUUCGUCUGUUUCCAUUCACUAUAAGAAAAAUAUUCUGAGCACCUGCUAUGCGCCAAGCGUUGUGCUAUGUAGUGGGGGCACAACUGCAGGGAAACCAGACAUGGUCCCUCCCUGCCUCCUGGCAUUUAGAGCCAAGACAGAGGGUCAGAUUAUAAAUGAACACAGGCACCAUGAUUAUUUCAUCUCAAACUCUGGUUGGUGCUAUGGGAAAGGAGCAGUGAUCUUUGAGACCUGAGAGGGGGUCCUGAUGGAGCAGACACCAGCAGAAGGAUCCUUCCGGGAAGUGACGUUGAAGCUAAGCUUGAAA